UAGAUUCACUACCGAUCACAUGACUUAUUUUUCCUUCUGGGAGUGCAAAAUAAUUAGCUACAUCCAAAUGAAUGAAGUCUAAAUUAUCUUCAGAAAUAAAAUUUUCUUCAGCAUUUUUCUCUGUCUUUUUCAGGGAGGCUUGAUACAGCUCAACCAGGUGCUUUGGCAUACGACAUGCAUUCCCAAUAGGAUGUCGUCCAGUAUCUAAGAGUUGGAGAGGACUUUACAGAGUGUUGUCAUUUGAAACAGCUGGCUCUUCUAACUAAGAGUGCAUGGGAACAACAACAACAUUCUGAUAUAUUUCGGCUUCACACUUCAUGUACAAUUUUUUUCAUGGCACAUGGAGAGUUGAUGCUUCAGAUAUACAAUUAUCUGUAUGAUUACCAAGCUAAAAGAUGUAAAAUAUGUUAUUAUACUGUAUUUGUAAAA